rnacentral:rRNA from 1 species
ACAACGGAGAGUUUGAUCCUGGCUCAGGACGAACGCUGGCGGCGUGCUUAACACAUGCAAGUCAAGGAGAAAGAGAAUCUUCGGAAUCUUUAGUAAACUGGCGAAUGGGUGCGUAACGCGUAGGCAAUUUACCCUGGAGUGGGGAAUAACAUCGGGAAACCGGUGCUAAUACCGCAUGAUAUUCAGAGAAUGCAUGUUCUUUGAAUCAAAGAUUUAUCGCUUCGGGAUGAGCCUGCGUCCUAUUAGUUUGUUGGUAGGGUAACGGCCUACCAAGACUACGAUGGGUAGCUGGUCUGAGAGGACGAUCAGCCACACUGGCACUGAGACACGGGCCAGACUCCUACGGGAGGCAGCAGUGAGGAAUAUUGGGCAAUGGGCGAAAGCCUGACCCAGCAACGCCGCGUGGGCGAUGAAGCUCUGAGGAGUGUAAAGCCCUGUUAGGAGGGAAGAAAAUUCCGAUUUAUCGGAACUGACGGUACCUCCAGAGAAAGCUCCGGCUAACUCCGUGCCAGCAGCCGCGGUAAUACGGGGGGAGCAAGCGUUGUCCGGAUUUACUGGGCGUAAAGCGCGUGUAGGCGGGAUGGUCAGUCAGGGGUGAAAUCUUACGGCUCAACCGUAAAUCUGCUCUUGAUACUGCCAUUCUUGAGUACGGAAGAGGGAAGUGGAAUUCCUGGUGUAGCGGUGAAAUGCGUAGAUAUCAGGAAGAACACCAGUAGCGAAGGCGGCUUCCUGGUCCGUUACUGACGCUGAGACGCGAAAGCGUGGGGAGCAAACAGGAUUAGAUACCCUGGUAGUCCACGCCGUAAACGAUGGGCACUAGGUGUUGGGGGUUUCGACCCCUUCAGUGCCGAAGCUAACGCAUUAAGUGCCCCGCCUGGGGAGUACGGUCGCAAGACUGAAACUCAAAGGAAUUGACGGGGGCCCGCACAAGCGGUGGAGCAUGUGGUUUAAUUCGAUGCAACGCGAAGAACCUUACCUGGGCUUGAACUGCAG